AUGCCCCGGCCUUGUGGGCUGAAGGGGGGGGGGGGGGGGGUGGGCUGGAACACUUUGCCCCAUCCUGUCCUGGGCAGAAAGCAGCAAGGAGACGCGGUGCCCUCUGUGUUGUGGCACCAGCUGGCGAAACCCAUAGACAGGCAUCCCUCAUCCCCAAGUGCCUGGCAGGUGAGCAGAGGAAGGAAUUCUGACUCCCAGUCUGAUCUGCGUCCUGGACUUGAUGGAGCCAGACAAGUCCAUAGGAAGGAGGGGGUUACCCUGGAGUCUUUCCCGGAAUCACGGCGCGGGCGGAACUUCCCCUGGGGAGUAAGUAUGGAAUACUUUUGUUAUCAGAAAAAAAUAAACAUUUUGGGGAGAAAUUCUAGGUGGCAAGAUGGAAGAGUUUUAACAAAGGCCUGGACGCACAGAGGAGGUUUUCCUGCUUUGAUUAACUUCUGCAACUCCCCAUUAAACAUUAAAAGUGAAGCAGACACCAGUUUUAAGGCCGUUUUCAUUACUGUGCUUAUGACGUAUGCCAUCAUUUAUGGGUUGUUUUUGCAAGGCUUCAGAGGCUCCUCCCUGUGUCUCGGCCGCUUACAGCAGUCGGAUCUGCUGCCUGGCGGGGGACGGUGCUCGGCUCUGCCCCUGUUCUGACGGAAACACGAGGAAUCAGGCAGGAAGACACUACACUUGAGCUCAUAGUUCACAG
rnacentral:lncRNA from 1 species